CAGUUGGGUGCAAUCUAUGUGGAAUGGGACUUAUUUAUUAUUAAAAGGAAACCUUGAGUCAACAUCUGGCUCCCAUGUCGUUCAGCAGCCAGCUGUUUUAGAUCCAUCUGGUCCAGCAGACUCACAGAAGCUGGAGUGCUCUCUCUUCUCUCAGCCAGAGAGAAAUACUUGUUCAAUAGAGCCCAGCGUGUUCUGGUUCAGAGCUGGAUCAGACAAGCCAUUGCUAGAUCUCAUCUACAUUGAUGGAAACAUAUCUAAACAAUGUGAGGAGACAUCAAAUGCUCAGAAGAAAUGUAGUUAUAACUUGCCUAAGCAGGUUACCUCCUUUGAUGUUGGGACUUAUUACUGUGCCGUGGCCACAUGUGGAGAGAUAUUACUUGGAGACGGAACCAAAGUAGAAAUUUCUCAUUCUUUCAGUUCUGAAGUCCUGUUGCUGGUGAUCACAGUGAUCUGCUUGGCGAUUUCUUUAAUUGUGAAUAUUGUUUUAAUAUUCUG